rnacentral:rRNA from 1 species
UAGUCCACGCCCUAAACGAUGUCAACUAGACGUUGGCCCCAUUUAAGGGGUUAGUGUCGAAGCUAACGCGUUAAGUUGACCGCCUGGGGAGUACGACCGCAAGGUUGAAACUCAAAGGAAUUGACGGGGGCCCGCACAAGCGGUGGAGCAUGUGGUUUAAUUCGAUGCAACGCGAAGAACCUUACCAGCCCUUGACAUCCUGGGAAUUUUGUAGAGAUACAUUAGUGCCUUCGGGAAUCCAGUGACAGGUGCUGCAUGGCAGUCGUCAGCUCGUGUCGUGAGAUGUUGGGUUAAGUCCCGCAACGAGCGCAACCCUUGUCCCUAGUUGCCAGCACGUUAUGGUGGGAACUCUAGGGAGACUGCCGGUGAUAAACCGGAGGAAGGUGGGGAUGACGUCAAGUCAUCAUGGCCCUUAUGGGCUGGGCUACACACGUGCUACAAUGGACGGUACAGAGGGUCGCGAACCCGCGAGGGGAAGCCAAUCCCAGAAAACGUUUCGUAGUCCGGAUUGGAGUCUGCAACUCGACUCCA